UACGGAGGGUGCAAGCGUUAUCCGGAUUUACUGGGUUUAAAGGGUGCGUAGGUGGGUAGGAAAGUCAGUGGUGAAAUCUUCGGGCUUAACCCGGAAACUGCCAUUGAUACUAUUUAUCUUGAAUACUUUGGAGGUAAGCGGAAUAUGGUCAUGUAGCGGUGAAAUGCUUAGAUAUGACAUAGAACACCAAUUGCGAAGGCAGCUUACUACACAGUUAUUGACACUGAGGCACGAAAGCGUGGGGAUCAAACAGGA
rnacentral:rRNA from 1 species